GAUGAACGCUGGCGGCGUGCCUAAUACAUGCAAGUCGAGCGAACGGACGAGAAGCUUGCUUCUCUGAUGUUAGCGGCGGACGGGUGAGUAACACGUGGAUAACCUACCUAUAAGACUGGGAUAACUUCGGGAAACCGGAGCUAAUACCGGAUAAUAUUUUGAACCGCAUGGUUCAAAAGUGAAAGACGGUCUUGCUGUCACUUAUAGAUGGAUCCGCGCUGCAUUAGCUAGUUGGUAAGGUAACGGCUUACCAAGGCAACGAUGCAUAGCCGACCUGAGAGGGUGAUCGGCCACACUGGAACUGAGACACGGUCCAGACUCCUACGGGAGGCAGCAGUAGGGAAUCUUCCGCAAUGGGCGAAAGCCUGACGGAGCAACGCCGCGUGAGUGAUGAAGGUCUUCGGAUCGUAAAACUCUGUUAUUAGGGAUGAACAUAUGUGUAAGUAACUGUGCACAUCUUGACGGUACCUAAUCAGAAAGCCACGGCUAACUACGUGCCAGCAGCCGCGGUAAUACGUAGGUGGCAAGCGUUAUCCGGAAUUAUUGGGCGUAAAGCGCGCGUAGGCGGUUUUUUAAGUCUGAUGUGAAAGCCCACGGCUCAACCGUGGAGGGUCAUUGGAAACUGGAAAACUUGAGUGCAGAAGAGGAAAGUGGAAUUCCAUGUGUAGCGGUGAAAUGCGCAGAGAUAUGGAGGAACACCAGUGGCGAAGGCGACUUUCUGGUCUGUAACUGACGCUGAUGUGCGAAAGCGUGGGGAUCAAACAGGAUUAGAUACCCUGGUAGUCCACGCCGUAAACGAUGAGUGCUAAGUGUUAGGGGGUUUCCGCCCCUUAGUGCUGCAGCUAACGCAUUAAGCACUCCGCCUGGGGAGUACGACCGCAAGGUUGAAACUCAAAGGAAUUGACGGGGACCCGCACAAGCGGUGGAGCAUGUGGUUUAAUUCGAAGCAACGCGAAGAACCUUACCAAAUCUUGACAUCCUUUGACAACUCUAGAGAUAGAGCCUUCCCCUUCGGGGGACAAAGUGACAGGUGGUGCAUGGUUGUCGUCAGCUCGUGUCGUGAGAUGUUGGGUUAAGUCCCGCAACGAGCGCAACCCUUAAGCUUAGUUGCCAUCAUUAAGUUGGGCACUCUAAGUUGACUGCCGGUGACAAACCGGAGGAAGGUGGGGAUGACGUCAAAUCAUCAUGCCCCUUAUGAUUUGGGCUACACACGUGCUACAAUGGACAAUACAAAGGGCAGCGAAACCGCGAGGUCAAGCAAAUCCCAUAAAGUUGUUCUCAGUUCGGAUUGUAGUCUGCAACUCGACUACAUGAAGCUGGAAUCGCUAGUAAUCGUAGAUCAGCAUGCUACGGUGAAUACGUUCCCGGGUCU
rnacentral:rRNA from 1 species